rnacentral:misc_RNA from 1 species
UUAGGUACCAAGAAACAUUGGGAUAGCAUCGGUAAAACAAUACUAAAUGUUACAAAGAGACACGUGGUCUCGGUAGAUUUAAGAAAUCAUGGCGACAGUCCACAUACCACCUCACACAAGUAUGAGGACCUGGCCGAAGAUAUACUAAAAUUACUUGAUAGAUUGACCGUUAACAGGGUGAGCUUUGUGGGGCACAGUAUGGGCGGUAGAGCCGCCAUGACAGUCUCGCUUUUGGCGCCAGAAAAGGUGGCUGGGCUAUUAGUUUUGGAUAUUUCACCGAUAUCAAACUCGAAACAAUUGACUGA